UACAGAGGUCUCAAGCGUUGUUCGGAUUCAUUGGGCGUAAAGGGUGCGUAGGCGGCGCGGUAAGUCGGGUGUGAAAUUUCGGAGCUUAACUCCGAAACUGCAUUCGAUACUGGCGUGCUUGAGGACUGGAGAGGAGACUGGAAUUCAUGGUGUAGCAGUGAAAAUGCGUAGAGAUCAUGAGGAAGACCAGUGGCGAAGGCGGGUCUCUGGACAGUUCCUGACACUGAGACACGAAGGCCAGGGGAGCAAAACGGGG
rnacentral:rRNA from 1 species